AACUCGAAACUACUUGUUUACACACUUGACUCGUACUACUUUGAAACCAAUAUUAAUGCCUGGCCUCUGGAUCCCCAUUCAGGCCAAUGAGGGAUCAUUUUGACUCAACAUUCAGUGAAAUAGCAGGGAGCAGGUCUCGAAAGCCCAAAGUUCAGCGCGCUAUCAUAAUAUGGGGACCCCACCAUUUGUUUUGGUAUAGAGCUAGGAACGGUUCUAGGGAAUUGUAACCACUGUCAAAUUAAGACUACACUCAGAAUAUUUUACUUUGAAACUAUACAUCGUUCGGUUCGUAAACAUUCGAUUUGUAAACACUCACAGGACACAAUAUAUAAUCAUCAUGUGUGGUUGUCAAUCUCUAAACAGCACAAAUGAAAACGUGGCACUGAUGCACCCAAUGGAAUAAUGUUUCAGCAUUGCCUCAAUGAAGAGUUCAACGUUCAACUACCUAUGUGCGACAUGUGUUACCCCUUCUAUGAGCUUAUAAUAUAAACAACAACGAGAAAGGAAAUGGCUUCCUGAAAUCCAUUAAGCAGCUGAUUGGUCGACUCCGGGGCUAAUUGGAGAGCUGACCCCGCCCCCUCGUCAAGACGCAGCUGUCUCCAAUUACCUAUACCAGAAGAUAUAUAAAUGCCACUGUUCUGUUCAGGAGAGAGAAUUUUUGCUGGAAGUAGACUUGCUAGAGAGAUUUUGAUAGAGGUUGAUUUUGAGAGAGGAUUUUGCUAGAAGUUCAUUGCUGAGAGUUGGUAUGUUUUGUGAGUUUAUUGCUCAGAUAGAGCUUAUUUGAUGUCCUUUGUUUGUUAGUUUGUUUGUGAAAUUGUUUAAUAUUCUGUUUCAUUUGUUCCCAGGGGGGAAGGGGAAGGCACCUAGGGAGUGCUUAGGCAAGAGGCCCGCGGGCAUACAUAUACCCGUAGCAUAUUCGCUGUCUAGGCACACUAGGUAAGACCUGGGCGGACCACCCCCUGUAUUUUGGUUAGGGCACCAGGUGGUGUUAAAUUAGGUAAGUAGUGGGUAGGCAGGUAAGAUUGGAGAGGGGGGGCUUUGAGAUUUACUUUCUUUGCUUUGGUUCCGUCCAGCCCCUUUUCCCCAUAUUACCGUG